rnacentral:rRNA from 1 species
UGUAGUCUCGCACAGAUGCAUAUCAAUAAGCGGAGGAAAAGAAACUAACAAGGAUUCCCCUAGUAACGGCGAGUGAAGCGGGAAGAGCUCAAAUUUGAAAUCUUAAAGGGUUUCCCUUUACGAAUUGUAGUUUAAAGAAGUGUUUUCUGUUGAGGUUUUGGUAAAAGUUCUUUGGAAUAGGACAUCAUAGAGGGUGAGAAUCCCGUAUUUGACCUUUACUUUCAACUUUGUGAUACACUUUCAAAGAGUCGGAUUGUUUGGGAAUGCAGUCCAAAAUGGGUGGUAAAUUUCAUCUAAAGCUAAAUAUUGGCGAGAGACCGAUAGCGAACAAGUACCGUGAGGGAAAGAUGAAAAGAACUUUGAAAAGAGAGUUAAACAGUACGUGAAAUUGUCAAAAGGGAAGCGUUUGACACCAGUGUUGUUUUUCUGAAAAUCAAUUAAAGAACUGUUUAUGCUAAGUUGUUUAGACUUUAUCAGCUAUCUGUUUAGUUUUGAGCUUUUCUUUAAUGCACUUUUCAGUUAACAAGUCAACAUCAAUUUCUUUUGCUGUAAAAAAGCUUGAGGAAGGUGGCUUGAGAUUCGUCUUAAGUGUUUAUAGCCUCUUGCCUAUGCAGUCGGAGAGAUUGAGGUCUGCAGCGUAGAUCCUUCGGGGCUAAAUGCAUUUGUGCUAAGUUAUAGCAUUUUAUAGACAACUUGUUGACUAUGAUUUGUCUUGUAGCUUACUCGCUUAUGUUAUUUUACCUACGCUUAGGAUGUUGACGCAUGAGAUAUACGC